rnacentral:rRNA from 1 species
UAGGGAAUCUUCCGCAAUGGGCGAAAGCCUGCCGGAGCAACGCCGCGUGAGUGACGAAGGUCUUCGGAUCGUAAAACUCUGUUAUUAGGGAAGAACAAAUGUGUAAGUAACUAUGCACGUCUUGACGGUACCUAAUCAGAAAGCCACGGCUAACUACGUGCCAGCAGCCGCGGUAAUACGUAGGUGGCAAGCGUUAUCCGGAAUUAUUGGGCGUAAAGCGCGCGUAGGCGGUUUUUUAAGUCUGAUGUGAAAGCCCACGGCUCAACCGUGGAGGGUCAUUGGAAACUGGAAAACUUGAGUGCAGAAGAGGAAAGUGGAAUUCCAUGUGUAGCGGUGAAAUGCGCAGAGAUAUGGAGGAACACCAGUGGCGAAGGCGACUUUCUGGUCUGUAACUGACGCUGAUGUGCGAAAGCGUGGGGAUCAAACAGG